ensembl:lncRNA
GCCAGGAAAUUAGUGGAGGCUUGUUCCCCGUUCUUGGCCCCAUGUUAUGCUCCCCGGCACUGAAGUCGGUACUGAUGCGGCGCCAACUUGGCGCUUCAAAGAAAGCACAAGGGAUACAAACGCAGGCCACAAUCCCGCUUUGUUUAUAAGUAUGUAUUGUCAAAGGAAAGCAACAGAGCUUGGGAGUCUGCAGGAAGUGUUUAAAGUGCUGACGGUGUUUCAGACACUCCUUAACCUGCAUAAAAAACAACCUCUUGUAUUGCACCAAUUCACCAGGUCAAACUCCUCUGUGUGUAACAUAUGUGGCAAUAAAUGGCUUCCGAUUCUGAUUCUGAUUAAAAAUAAUCC